rnacentral:rRNA from 1 species
CCUACGGGAGGCAGCAGUGAGGAAUAUUGGUCAAUGGACGAGAGUCUGAACCAGCCAAGUAGCGUGAAGGAUUACUGCCCUAUGGGUUGUAAACUUCUUUUAUAUGGGAAUAAAACGUUCCACGUGUGGGAUUUUGUAUGUACCAUAUGAAUAAUGAGCGGCUAACUCCGUGCCAGCAGCCGCGGUAAUACGGAGGAUCCGAGCGUUAUCCGGAUUUAUUGGGUUGAAAGGGAGCGUAGGCGGAUUGUUAAGUCAGUUGUGAAAGUUUGCGGCUCAACCGUAACAUUGCAGUUGAAACUGGCAGUCUUGAGUACAGUAGAGGUGGGCGGAAUUCGUGGUGUAGCGGUGAAAUGCUUAGAUAUCACGAAGAACUCCGAUUGCGAAGGCAGUUCACUGGACUGCAACUGACACUGAGGCUCGAAAGUGUGGGUAUCAAACAGGAUUAGAUACCCUUGUAGUC